rnacentral:rRNA from 1 species
UUGAAAGGGAAACGAUUGAAGUNAGUNGUGAAGUNGAGAAAUAGUUUUUNGAAUGUGNAUUUGUGGGGGUAUGAGAUUUUAUUGUUUCAAUAUGUAUAUUUUUUGGUGUAUUUUUGUAUGGUAGGUNAAUGUGGUUUUGAUGNAUAAAAUGAUGGAGGAAUGUAGUUGGUUGGUUGAAGUGUUAUAGUUUUGGUAAAUGUGGUGAUUAGGANGAGGAUUGAAGAAUACUUUUAGGUAUCGUUGAUUUGAAAGUUAUUAGGUGNGAAAGUUUUNNGGNAUUUAAGUUGANGGUUAAUAGGUUAGAAUGUGAUAAUCGUUAAGGAUGUUGACGUA